GGCAGCAGCUAAGAAUAUUCCGCAAUGGACGAAAGUCUGACGGAGCGACGCCGCGUGGAUGAUGAAGGCCGGAAGGUUGUAAAAUCCUUUUAUGACUGAGGAAUAAGAUGGAUGAGAGAAACGUCCAUUGGUGACUGUAGGUCAUGAAUAAGCAACGGCUAAUUACGUGCCAGCAGCCGCGGUAACACGUAAGUUGCGAGCGUUGUUCGGAAUUAUUGGGCGUAAAGGGUAUGUAGGCGGUUCUGCAAGUCUAGUGUGAAAUGCCGGGGCUCAACCCCGGAACUGCGUUGGAAACUGCAGGACUUGAAUCGCUGAGGGGCAGCCAGAAUUCCAGGUGUAGGGGUGAAAUCUGUAGAUAUCUGGAAGAAUACCAAUGGCGAAGGCAGGCUGCCAGCAGAUGGUUGACGCUGAGGUACGAAGGUGCGGGGAGCAAACAGGAUUAGAUACCCUGGUAGUCCGCACAGUCAACUAUGUACACUGGGUGUCCGUUCAUGAGAAUGGGUGCCGAAGCAAACGCGAUAAGUGUACCGCCUGGGGAGUAUGCCCGCAAGGGUGAAACUCAAAGGAAUUGACGG
rnacentral:rRNA from 1 species